CAAAGAGGGGGACCUUCGGGCCUCUCGCGUCAGGAUAUGCCUAGGUGGGAUUAGCUAGUUGGUGAGGUAAGGGCUCACCAAGGCGACGAUCCCUAGCUGGUCUGAGAGGAUGAUCAGCCACACUGGAACUGAGACACGGUCCAGACUCCUACGGGAGGCAGCAGUGGGGAAUAUUGCACAAUGGGCGCAAGCCUGAUGCAGCCAUGCCGCGUGUGUGAAGAAGGCCUUCGGGUUGUAAAGCACUUUCAGUCGUGAGGAAGGUGGUAGUGUUAAUAGCACUAUCAUUUGACGUUAGCGACAGAAGAAGCACCGGCUAACUCCGUGCCAGCAGCCGCGGUAAUACGGAGGGUGCGAGCGUUAAUCGGAAUACUGGGCGUAAAGCGCAUGCAGGUGGUUUGUUAAGUCAGAUGUGAAAGCCCGGGGCUCAACCUCGGAAUUGCAUUUGAAACUGGCAGACUAGAGUACUGUAGAGGGGGGUAGAAUUUCAGGUGUAG
rnacentral:rRNA from 1 species